rnacentral:misc_RNA from 1 species
GGGUCUGAUUGAGAAAUGGAGCAAGUUUGUUGACGAUUGCCGUGUGAGAGAAGUGCUUGUAAAUUUUUAGAGAAAAAGAAGCAAAUCUAGACGGGAUAAGUGACACACUGGGAGUAGAUAUUGGGGUAAAAAAAGGCUUUAAUCAAGUUCAUGAGUUUUGGGGGUUUCCUUGAAAAAGGUAGUCCUGGUGGUGGAGGUGCAAGAAUCGUGGCAGA